rnacentral:rRNA from 1 species
AGCGAACGCUGGCGGCAGGCCUAACACAUGCAAGUCGAACGGACCCUUCGGGGUUAGUGGCGGACGGGUGAGUAACACGUGGGAACGUGCCUUUAGGUACGGAAUAGCUCCUGGAAACGGGUGGUAAUGCCGAAUGUGCCCUUCGGGGGAAAGAUUUAUCGCCUUUAGAGCGGCCCGCGUCUGAUUAGCUAGUUGGUGAGGUAACGGCUCACCAAGGCGACGAUCAGUAGCUGGUCUGAGAGGAUGACCAGCCACACUGGGACUGAGACACGGCCCAGACUCCUACGGGAGGCAGCAGUGGGGAAUCUUGCGCAAUGGGCGAAAGCCUGACGCAGCCAUGCCGCGUGAAUGAUGAAGGUCUUAGGAUUGUAAAAUUCUUUCACCGGGGACGAUAAUGACGGUACCCGGAGAAGAAGCCCCGGCUAACUUCGUG